rnacentral:misc_RNA from 1 species
UUUCCGUAGGUGAACCUGCGGAAGGAUCAUUAAAAAAUGUGGUACCAUUAUUGGUACUAAUUAAUCAUCCUACCUUUGUGAAUUUGUUUGUAAGAAUUUUUUUAAAUGGGUCUUUCCCUAAGUUGGAUUGUUAGUAAAAUACAAAAGACUUAGGGAAUGACUUUUUUAAAAGACUUUUUUUUAAUUAAAACUUUUUGUAUUCAUUUGUUUAAAAUUUAUUUUUAUAAUAUAAAAACAACUUUUGACAAUGGAUCUCUUGGUUCUCGCAACGAUGAAGAACGCAGCAAAAUGCGAUAAGUAGUGUGAAUUGCAGAAUACGUGAAUCAUCGAAUCUUCGAACGCAUAUUGCACUUUUUAGUUUACUAAAAAAGUAUGUCUGUUUGAGUAUCAGUAAAAUAUUCUCACAAACAUGUAUUGUUUGUGGUUAUGAGUGUUUUACAACGAUAAACAAGUUGUUUCACUUUAAAUUCUUUUUAAUUGAAUUUUACCAAUUCAUAAAUUAAAAUUGGAUAAAAUUUUCCUUUAACGAGGAAUAACCUAAACAAUUUUAAAUUUUAUGGAUUAAUUACAUUCAUCAAAGGAAUCUAUACAACAAAUAACUUGAUCUCAAAUCAGAUAAGAGUACCGCUGAACUUAAGCAUAUCAAUAAGCGGAGGAAAAGAAACUAACAAGGAUUCCUUAGUAACGGCGAGUGAAGCGGGAAGAGCUCAAAUUUGAAAUCUUCAAGGUUUGACCUUGACGAAUUGUAGUUUAUAGAAGUGUUUUCUGUUGGAGUUUUGGUAAAAGUUCUUUUGGAAUAGGACAUCAUAGAGGGUGAGAAUCCGUAUUUGACCAUGACUUUCCAGCUGUGUGAUACACUUUCAAAGAGUCGGAUUGUUUGGGAAUGCAGUCCAAAAUGGGUGGUAAAUUUCAUCUAAAGCUAAAUAUUGGCGAGAGACCGAUAGCGAACAAGUACCAGUGAGGGAAAGAUGAAAAGAACUUUGAAAAGAGAGUUAAACAGUACGUGAAAUUGUCAAAAGGGAAGCGUUUGACACCAGUGUUGUUUUCUCGAAAAUCAAUUUAAUGAGUUCUUGUUUUUAAGUUAUUGUGACUUUAUCAGCGCAUUUCUUAUUUUACUUGACUCAUUGAAUGCGCUUUUCGUUUAACAAGUCAACAUCAAUUUCUUUGGUGGUAAAAAGUUUAAAGGAAGGUGGCUUGGACUUCGGUUCAAGUGUUUAUAGCCUUUUUUCUAUGCCAUCGGAGAGAUUGAGGUCUGCAGCGUAGAUCCUUCGGGGUUAGAUACUUUGUGCUAAGUUAUAGUUUUUUUAUAGACAACUUGUUGACUAUAAUUAACCCUGUAAUUUACUCGCUUAGGCUAUUUUACCUACGCUUAGGAUGUUG